AACCCCUUCCCGUGACGUGUUCGAUUAUGGUUAGCGGAGGGAGGAAUUUUUUUUUUUUCAUUCUCACGGCGUCGUCUCUCGGUGUUCUCUCUCUGAUGCGUGAGGCUAAACGUCACAGGAUAGCUAUGGUCCAUCGAUCUGCGCCGAGCUCCUCUUCAUCGCUUGUUUUCGCCCUCUCGUUGUGAAGCUACAGACCAUGAGAUCGACGUUUGCGUCGGCGAUCUGCUUUGCCCUCUCCGACGCAUUAUGUGCUGCUUCUAUGUUCUUUCAAAGAGAAAUUGCAACAACAUGUGUGUGUAUUCCUCCUGCUAUGAAAGCUGUGAUGGCUUGUUGUGAGAUUGAGCAGUCUCUUCAAAGCUUAACAGAUAGGAGUGUCUCCUGGUGAAGAGAUGGGAACAACAAUGUCGGAUGAUGGAGAUGAACAAGUAGAGAGUGAUGCUAAAAUGUUCGAUGGGAGCCUAGAUGUGUUGGGGUUUUGUCCUCUGGUUUCUACUGAGAGCGAGAGGUCCUUGAUAGAAAGAGUUAGACAAGAACUCAAGCAUGAACUCAAACAGGGUUACAAGGAGAAGAUAGUAGACAUAAGAGAGGAGAUACUGAGGAAGAGAAGAGCUGGGAAAUUACCAGGAGACACCACCUCUGUUCUCAAAGCAUGGUGGCAAUGAAGCAAGCAGCUACUACAGCCAAUCCAAAGACGGAGACACCACCUCAUGCCUUAAGGUUGCACUUCCAGUGGGAACCGAGUGGGAUCAAUUUAGAUGCACUUUAUGAAUUCAAUUGAGAUUUAACAAAUCUUGGAACUUGGAAGAAGCAUUGGACUAUUGGAGGAAGGAGGAAAGCUAUAUUUACUUGUUUAAAUCAUCGUUGGCAUUUGUGGUUCUUUCUAAUUAAUUUGUUGAAAAAUCUAUCAGGUUGUGCUGUAUGCUCUCUCUUCUUCCUUUUGUUUAAACAUUUCCUUCUAGUUCCCUGUUUAUAAGUUUCUCUUUAUAACGUUACAGCUCAAUUAGUCCCCUAACAAAGGUGCAAACAAGAUUGUCCAA